GAUUAUGUUCAGGAGUUUGAUCAAAUUGGAACAAUUAAUGGAGAAACUGCAGUAGAUUUCGAUCUGGAAAGUUUAGAGGAGAAACCGUGGCGAAAACCUGGAGCAGAUAUAACAGAUUAUUUUAAUUAUGGUUUCACAGAAGAUACAUGGACUGCCUACUGUAACAGACAGAAACAGUUGCGAGUAAACGAGGCUGGGGUGAGUGUAAUGGGAAACAGCUCUAUAGUUUCAGGGAACAGAUACACAGGUAUAUGGGAGGAAUGGGAGUUCCACAAAA